rnacentral:miRNA from 1 species
GAGGUGCAAAUCAGAAAACACAACACUAAAAGAGAAAACACAACAGCAAAUAAGAAAACUCAAUGGUUAAUGUUGUUGUGUUUUCUCUUUUUGUGUUGUGUUUUCUGAUUUGCCGUUGUG